GGGGGGGGGGACUGUCUUUCAUGCAGUCGAGCGAAUGGAUUAAGAGCUUGCUCUUAUGAAGUUAGCGGCGGACGGGUGAGUAACACGUGGGUAACCUGCCCAUAAGACUGGGAUAACUCCGGGAAACCGGGGCUAAUACCGGAUAACAUUUUGAACUGCAUGGUUCGAAAUUGAAAGGCGGCUUCGGCUGUCACUUAUGGAUGGACCCGCGUCGCAUUAGCUAGUUGGUGAGGUAACGGCUCACCAAGGCAACGAUGCGUAGCCGACCUGAGAGGGUGAUCGGCCACACUGGGACUGAGACACGGCCCAGACUCCUACGGGAGGCAGCAGUAGGGAAUCUUCCGCAAUGGACGAAAGUCUGACGGAGCAACGCCGCGUGAGUGAUGAAGGCUUUCGGGUCGUAAAACUCUGUUGUUAGGGAAGAACAAGUGCUAGUUGAAUAAGCUGGCACCUUGACGGUACCUAACCAGAAAGCCACGGCUAACUACGUGCCAGCAGCCGCGGUAAUACGUAGGUGGCAAGCGUUAUCCGGAAUUAUUGGGCGUAAAGCGCGCGCAGGUGGUUUCUUAAGUCUGAUGUGAAAGCCCACGGCUCAACCGUGGAGGGUCAUUGGAAACUGGGAGACUUGAGUGCAGAAGAGGAAAGUGGAAUUCCAUGUGUAGCGGUGAAAUGCGUAGAGAUAUGGAGGAACACCAGUGGCGAAGGCGACUUUCUGGUCUGUAACUGACACUGAGGCGCGAAAGCGUGGGGAGCACACAGGAUUAGAUACCCUGGUAGUCCACGCCGUAGACGAUGAGUGCUAAGUGUUAGAGGGUUUCCGCCCUUUAGUGCUGAAGUUAACGCAUUAAGCACUCCGCCUGGGGAGUACGGCCGCAAGGCUGAAACUCAAAGGAAUUGACGGGGGCCCGCACAAGCGGUGGAGCAUGUGGUUUAAUUCGAAGCAACGCGAAAAAACUUACCAGGUCUUGACAUCCUCUGAAAACCCUAGAGAUAGGGCUUCUCCUUCGGGAGCAGAGUGACAGGUGGUGCAGGGUUUUCGUCACCUCCUGUCCGCAAGAAGUUGGUUUAGUCCCGCAACGAGGGCAACCCUUGAACUAAGUUGCCACCAUUAAGUGGGGCCCUCAAGGGAAUUCCGGUUAAAAACGGAAGAAAGGUGGGUUGACCCCCAAAAAAAUAGGCCCUUAGAACUGGGCCAACACGGGGUAAAAUGGACGGUAAAAAGACUUCCAACCCCCGGGGGGGGCUUAUCUUAAAAAACGUUCUUGGUUGGGGUGAGGGGCGGACUUCCCCCAUAAAGCGGGAUCUUUUUAACCGGGAACAAACGCCGGGAAAAAUUCCCCGGCCUUCCACACAG
rnacentral:rRNA from 2 species